rnacentral:rRNA from 1 species
GACGAACGCUGGCGGCGUGCUUAACACAUGCAAGUCGAACGGAAAGGCCCUGCUUUUUUGGGGUGCCCGAGUGGCGAACGGGUGAGUAACACGUGAGUAACCUGCCCUUGACUUUGGUAUAACUUCAGGAAACUGGUGCUAAUACCGGAUAGGAGCUCCUGCUGCAUGGUGGGGGUUGGAUCGUUUCGGCGGUUGGGGAUGGACUCGCGGCUUAUCGGCUUGUUGGUGGGGUAGUGGCUUACCAAGGCUUUGACGGGUAGCCGGCCUGAGAGGGUGACCGGCCACAUUGGGACUGAGAUACGGCCCAGACUCCUACGGGAGGCAGCAGUGGGGAAUAUUGCACAAUGGGCGGAAGCCUGAUGCAGCAACGCCGCGUGCGGGAUGACGGCCUUCGGGUUGUAAACCGCUUUCGCCUGUGACGAAGCGUGAGUGACGGUAAUGGGUAAAGAAGCACCGGCUAACUACGUG